CGUAGAAAAACUACCCAUGUGGACUGUCUUUUCACAAAACCGGUAUUUCUGGCCCUCACGGGAUGGUCCAGUUCAACUUUCCAAAUACAUCCAGGUUCCUUUGGGCUUGUCUGUCGUGGGUGCAGGAGAGAAUCACAUAUAGUUAAAGUCCUCUUCUGCAGGUCAGGUCAGUCAAGCAGAGAGAAGACUGGAAGGACAAAAUCCCUUUUUACUAGUCGUGUCGGGAGCUGGAAUUGGAGUUACCAUCCCUCUGUGUUGAAGAAGUCCUAAGGCUGCCAUUUCUAAAGGACUUGGGGCAAGAGAUGUUGCUGGGGGGCUUGCCUUUGACAUGGAUUCCAGCUACAUGCUCCUCAAAGGUAAGGGGUGUAUUAUUUACCUUUUCUUGUGUUCACCCCUACAGCUUGUGCAAGUCAGCCAG